rnacentral:rRNA from 1 species
UGGGAAUAUUGCACAAUGGGCGAAAGCCUGAUGCAGCGACGCCGCGUGAGGGAUGACGGCCUUCGGGUUGUAAACCUCUUUCAGCAGGGACGAAGCGCAAGUGACGGUACCUGCAGAAGAAGCACCGGCCAACUACGUGCCAGCAGCCGCGGUAAUACGUAGGGUGCGAGCGUUGUCCGGAAUUACUGGGCGUAAAGAGCUCGUAGGCGGUUUGUCGCGUCGUCUGUGAAAUUCUGCAGCUUAACUGCAGGCGUGCAGGCGAUACGGGCAGACUUGAGUACUACAGGGGAGACUGGAAUUCCUGGUGUAGCGGUGAAAUGCGCAGAUAUCAGGAGGAACACCGGUGGCGAAGGCGGGUCUCUGGGUAGUAACUGACGCUGAGGAGCGAAAGCGUGGGUAGCGAACAGGAUUAGAUACCCUGGUAGUCCACGCCGUAAACGGUGGGUACUAGGUGUGGGUUCCAUUUCACGGGAUCCGUGCCGUAGCUAACGCAUUAAGUACCCCGCCUGGGGAGUACGGCCGCAAGGCUAAAACUCAAAGGAAUUGACGGGGUCAUAGCUGUUUUCCCU